UGGUCUAUCACUUGGUCCGACUGGUCUUGAACCGAGUGAUCUUUGGUCCGAGUGGUCAUGGAUUCUUGUCGUAAUUGUACUUGAAUUUCCUAUGCUGUCACCCCUAAUACGAAAUGAUAUCUUCCGCAGAGUGACGUAACCAUCUUCCAUAUUGGUAUUUUUCUCUGGGAAAAGUUUGUGAUAUUUCAAUUUUUCAAGAGAGAACUUGUUUUCAUCGUUGUGAUAAUUAGUUGUGCAAUGGAUUUUAUCGAACGGGAGUUCAUUACAAACACACAGCACCAGACUGGAUUCGGUCGAACUAUUAUUGUUAUUAGAAUUUGGAAACUCUGGUGGCCUCUCACUACCCCGCAGUGUUGCUAUGGGUCCGUAAGACAGGGCCGACGAUGAAGAGGAUGAAGAUGAAGAUGAAACAUUUCUCAAACGCUUACGAUUAAUGCGGAUAGGAGACACAAAAAGUGGUUUGGCUAAGUUACUUGCAGUACUAGGGAUUUCAGAAUUUUGUGGAGGUACCACUUCACGCACUGCUGUCCCUCUGGCCUCUCGUCUUUCGGAUUCGGACCUGGCUUGACGCCUAACAUAUUUAACCUCAUUUUUCAUGUUGGCCACAAAAUCCUUAUAUUCGGCCUUCUCUUUCUCACCAUAUCUCAUGUUGGCCCUUUUUACCCUCUCCAUGGUGGCACGUGGACAUCCAGGGUGUUUAAUGUCCGGUCGGUUUGUAACAUUCUUGCAUUGACUACAUUUGUAUCCAAAACCAGAAUGGCUACUGAUGAUGUGCCUCUCGCAAUGGGAGAACCGCAGAUAUUCUCGGUUAUCAUUGCAUAUACUGCAUUUAUACCGUGUGACCUGUAAUACAUAAUGAAAAUGACCUUCGUUAUUUAAAAAGUGAUUGCUACAAAGGUAGAACUCUACCAAGAACAAGAUCAACAGUGCCACAUUGAAUCUGAGAUAAAACAGCCCCAGCUCCAAAAUUGGAAGCGUCGGAAUCGAUAAUGAACAAGCCCUCUGGCUGGGGAAAUGACAGAAUCGGUGGACUGGGCUAGCUUUUGGCUCUCCUCGAGAUCGACGGACGACUUGUGGUACAAUUCCACUAGGUGCUCAGGCACUGAUUGGCUUUGAGAGUGACAUACAGAAACAGGCUCCUGACUGAUUUGAUGCACAGAACGUCCACAUUGCCUAUCAGCGAGUCUGUGCGCUUCUAACCGAAUGGCAUGUGUUUCAGCCUCAUUAAUAUCUUUAGGCCGAAGUUCACGUAUUCUCAACCUCAUGUCCGAGUCUUGGAUGGAAUCAACAAAAUGAUCGAGGGCCAAGAUGUUAGUGAGCGAUGAAUCGGCUGUCGGAUAAGCCUGCCGUGUUAAUUUACGAAUGGCCUGGGCUAAUUCAGGCAGAGUUUCAGCCUUUCCUCUACAACGAGUCGGGCUCGAUACAUUUCUGAAUGUUCAAGUGAGCCAAAUCUAAUACUGAGAGUCCUAAUGAGAAUAUUGAAGUCUUUUCUCUCCAGUGGGCUGAGUUCAGUUAAAAUAGCUCUGGCAUUACCAGUUAAGCUGCUGGCUAAUACAAGGAUUUGUCAUUAUAACUCCACCUAUUUAUGUUGGAAACAAUUUCAAACUGGGAAAGGUACUCCUCAAAAUCUUCUAAACCGUCAUAUUGAUGGGGUCUCAUUUUAACAGAGUGAUUAUUUUCAUGAGCUCUACUAUUAAAACGCGGAUAACUCACAUGGUUAUCAUUUUGGUUUGAUUGUGUAAUGGGAGAACUACUUUGAAAAUCACCUUCAGGAAAUACAUCCCUAACCAUGCCACUCCCCUCAAGUCUAGCACUUUUACGUAACCCAUUAAAUUCAUGAGACAAUGCAUCGACAUCCUUCUUAAUAACAUUUAUUUCUUGUUUCAUUUCGAUCAACCCUUUAUGGCUCUCACUUCUUAGAUAUUCCAAUUGUUGGCUGAUUUGAUCUAAGAUCGAGUUGUUAUUUAUCAAAAUACUGGGAUGGUCGCUUUCCACAGACUGAAGUGAUUCAUUGGAAUUUUGUAAUACUAUCAUUGGUGCCCUCAUUAGUCGGGUUUGCUACAGCACUUUUUUUAUUAUUUAUGAUAACUUCUGUAUCAUCAAAAGUCGCCAUUAUGAAGGAAUUAUAUCACAAUAAAACGAAAUGUUCUUUUUUUCAGGUGCGUUUGUUGAUUAUAUUUUUAUUUAUGAUUUAACUAUUGACUUAUUCUCUUGGCACACUAGAGCUGGAGUUUACAAUAAUAAUAAGGGAAUUUUGUGGUAGUAUCCCACUUCUGACACCAAUGUUACGAUUCCUCGAUUCCCUUAGCGAAGAACGUAAAUGGAAAUAGGGUUCGCUCCAGUCUAGUGCUAUACCAAAAGAAUAAGACAAACAACAAGUUAAAAAUUAAUAAAUUUUAUUAGGAGGAAAACAAUUAAUUAAUUGUAGGCCUAUAUAUUAUAGGUUCUACGGCAAAUAAAUAACCAAAUCGGCAAUACCUAAACAAAUCAUCAAAUUGCAUAAAUUAUAAAAUAUUGGUAGGCAAUUAUAGUAGUGAACGCCAGAUACUUUCUGUAUUAAAAUAAUUAAAAAUAUGAAGCUGAUCAUUGACGUUACUGCCCUUUGCUCUAAUUGUGGGAUUGCAUGUUUUUCCGUCCCCAAAGCCAAAAGUGACAAAAUAGGGAUUUUUCCCCAAAAAGUGGGGAUUUACCCACUAGGCCUAACCCACUAAUUGAUAAAAAUGGGGAUUUUUCCCCCAAAAUGGCAAAAGUGGGUAUUUACCCACUAACCCACUAACUGAUGAAAUGGG